rnacentral:rRNA from 1 species
AAUAUUGGACAAUGGGCGAAAGCCUGAUCCAGCGACGCCGCGUGUGUGAGGAAGGCCUGCGGGUUGUAAAGCACUUUUAGUGGGGAUGAAAAGCCAGAGGCUAAUACCGUCUGGUCUUGACCUAACCCACAGAAAAAGCACCGGCUAACUCUGUGCCAGCAGCCGCGGUAAUACAGAGGGUGCGAGCGUUAAUCGGAAUUACUGGGCGUAAAGCGUGCGCAGACGGUUAUUUAAGUCGGGUGUGAAAGCCCCGGGCUCAACCUGGGAAUUGCAUUCGAGACUGAAUAGCUAGGGUACGGUAGAGGGAAGCGGAAUUUCCGGUGUAGCGGUGAAAUGCGUAGAUAUCGGAAGGAACAUCAGUGGCGAAAGCGGCUUCCUGGACCAGUACCGACGUUCAGGCACGAAAGCGUGGGGAGCAAAC